GACAGAGGGUGCAAACGUUGUUCGGAAUUACUGGGCGUAAAGCGCGUGUAGGCGGUUAUGCAAGUCGGGUGUGAAAGCCCGGAGCUCAACUCCGGAAGUGCAUUCGAUACUGCGUAGCUAGAGUACUGGAGAGGAUGGUGGAACUCUCGGUGUAGAGGUGAAAUUCGUAGAUAUCGAGAAGAACACCGGCGGCGAAGGCGGCCAUCUGGACAGAUACCGACGCUGAGACGCGAAAGCGUGGGGAGCAAACAGG
rnacentral:rRNA from 1 species